rnacentral:sRNA from 1 species
GAUACCAACUUUACAGAGUGCUGAGAGGAUUUGGUGGCAUAAUUUGUGUAAGAUGCCUAGCCCUGUGCCUGCAUGAUCUAUACUUUGACUGACAAUCCGUGCCUUCAGGCAACCUUACAAGAAUAUCUGAGAACAGACGGUAUUGUGUUGCACCAGGAUUUGGUAUGGUCAACUUAUCCUGCUCCCUGGUGCCAACACAAUAUUUCACAACAGACAAUAAAACUAAAGGACACAGCAGGCCAGGAAAGAUACAGGACUAUCACCACAGCCUAUUAUCGUGGAGCCAUGGGCUUUAUUUUAAUGUAUGACAUUACAAAUGAAGAAUCCUUCAAUGCAGUACAAGAUUGACAGAAUUUACAAUUUAAAAGAAAAGAGAGGAAGAAAAGUAGAAAAAAAGCUGGCAUGACACAAAACAAAACACAGAAGCUUGUGGGAACCAUGAUAACUUACUGAUUUUUCUGGCUGCAAGAUUGUAUGAAACAAAAAAUAGCAAUAUGUAACACUUCCAGUUUCCCCCCGAAGCAGGCAUGACCAAGCUCGUUGUGGUCCAGAUUGUCUAACUGGUUAUGCUUUUAAAAAAAAAAUCAUU